CAAGGAUUCCUUGCCUUCCCUUCCAGUACUUCUAUCCUUUUCACCCUCCCUUCCAAACUUAUGGUCAUAUUUUUAACUUGGAUGACGACUACACAAAACUGUCAUUAUAGUAUAUCUGGCACACAGACAUCAGACAGUAAUACUGUAUAUAUGUUUUUAUUGGAAACAGGUAAAAAAAUUUCAUUUUUGCAAGUUACCUAUUUGUGGUACAGGGUGAAGACUUUUUUUUAAGAAGAAACUUAGUGGACAAGCAAGGUUUUAGGAAUUG
rnacentral:misc_RNA from 1 species